GGAUGUCGGCAAAAUGGAUCCGUGGCUUCGGUAAAAGGAUUGGCUCUGAGGGAUGGGCAUGGGGGUCCCAGUCCCGAACCCGUCGGCUGUCGGUGGACUGGUCGAGCUGCUCCCGCGGCGAGUGCGGGUCGCCGCGUGCCAGCCGGGGGACGGACCGGGAACGGUUCCUUCGGGGGCCUUCCCCGCGCCUCGAACAGCCAACUCAGAAUUGGUACGGACAAGGGGAAUCCGACUGUUUAAUUAAAACAAAGGAUUGCGAUGGUGGAGUGAUUUGUCUUGUUAAUUCCGUUAACGAACGAGCCCUCAGCC
rnacentral:ncRNA from 1 species